CUUGUUGCAUGUGUCAGUGUUGUGAAAACAAAUCAUUGUACAAGAGUUUAUGGAGAAAAUGACAGAACAAUAUGUCAGUGUAUCUCUCAGUCUUUAUGUAUGGUCAGUUUCAUUCACUGACACGGUCACCCUGAAAAAAGAAAGAGUUAAGAAAGGAAUGAAGGAAGGACAGAAAGAGAGUGAGAGUAUGAAUCUGCAGCUGCAGGAAGGGGACGUACAGAUAAGAAGCUUCAAUGAUCCUGACCUUGAGACAAUAUCACACUGAUAUGUAAUGAUGACACACACUCAGACCUUGUUAUUAGACUCACAUUCAUGUGAACUGUUGCUCUGUUACAGGACAUGGCCUGCGUUAUGAGGUUGUGACCAGCAGGUGUCAGUCUGUCCUUCACGGCCGUCCUCUCUGCUGCUGUGCCCAAUAAACACCCUGAUUCACCACACAAUCACUGCUGUCAGUAGGACGUGUCAUGCAGCAGUUGAAGUGAGGCAGAUUCUUCUCAGAGUCAGUGUCAAAAAGUCGUCUUUUCCCGUCUGUCCAUGAUGCUGUGCUGCACUGCCUGUGUCGGGCUGACAGAGAUCUGUCCAGCUCUCAGUUUACACUGGAAAUGUCCUGCGCUGCGAGGUUGUGAGCAGCAGGUGUCAGUCUGUCCU